rnacentral:lncRNA from 1 species
CAGUUACGUAGAUCCAUUUGUGUAGCUGCAAAAUGGAAAACCUGGUAAAGUUGAGGAAGGAAAUGGUUUAUCUAGCGUAUUACUAUCAAGAGGACAAUUAUCAUAACACUAAUACUAUAUCCGAUUAUCCAGAGGCGGAGUCAGGAUUUGAAGCUAAUGGGUUCGAGAUUCUAUUCCUUCUAAGUUACUGAGUUCUAAAUUAAUAAUUCUUAUAUAUUCAAUGAAUUUUUAAAGACAAAUGUAGAGUUUAGAUCAAAACUACUGGGUUCAGCUGAACCCGUGUCCGAAGCUCUAGCUCCGGCCCUGCGAUUAUCUAUCCCUCGUUGACAGCUUUCUCAAGGAGUGCUCCAAUGCAGCUAAGGAGUUUGAUAAGUAUAUAUGUUCUCUCUUUCUUCUCCAAAUAUAUAAUCUUUUGACAAAUCAAGUAUACUCUUGAUUUUUGUUAUUAUAUGUGUAUUUUCCCUUUUUUAUUUCUUUUCUUUUGGAUAUAUUGGUGCUUCCCCUAUAAUAAGAUCUGGCACAGUACGAAUCCAGAUUAGUCGGACCAAUAGAUAUGUCGAACAAAGAGCAGACGCACGUUUGACGAAGCAGUGUCUCGGAAAAUUAUACUAAAUAUAUGUAUUAAUAUUGUGAGGACGGUUAAGUAUAGGAAAAAAUAACACCACUUCGGCUAGAUUGUCUCGUGGCAUGUCAGUUAUGUUCUUGAUUUUGCUCUAAGUAUAGGAAAAAAAUGAUACCAAUGGACUAAGGCUAUUUCUUAUAUAGAAAUAUAAUAAUUAAAGUUACUAAUUCUCGUUCUUCUAUAAAUUUUGAUACCUCAUACAACAGUUCCUGCGUACGCCCUGUGUCGGACAGUGAUAUUUGUUGUUGAAUGUGUGCAUGACUCUUUGGAAAAUGACUCUAACACAAGGAUUUGAAUGAUAUGACCCACAACCUUCACCCGCACUACGUGUUUAAAAAUACUCCAGGCAUGGGAGAUUGUUCAACUGCAGAGGAGAUGAAGCAAUUACUAUCAAAACAUGGGAUUUCUUUUGGCCAUGUAAAAAAGCCUAUGUUAAUCAUCCAACUAGAUUUUGUGUAUGUUAAGCAUAUUUGGUUUUGUUGGAUUGAUCAAAUUUCUCUUUGAUUUCUGAAUUUGAUUUAACAUUUUUUGCUAAGCCAUUUGAAAUACAUUUGCAGAGUGAGGUUGAAAUACUAACAGAUGAAAACCGGCAUCCAUGUUUGAUGAAGUUAAAGGGUUCUGUUUUCAAUAUAAAUGUUUACCCGGAAAAUCGGAUAGAGUUGAAUUUGUACGCAGUUCUAAGGGUAUGUGGUACAACUUGAUACAAAAUCGUAAAAAGAAAUAGAAAUAUAUAAUCUUGACUAUAAGAAUGAAAGAUAAAAACGGUGGAAAGGAGAAAAAUGGUUGAACUAGAUAAGAUGAAGUAAAAGAGCUCAAAGGAUUGAUCUUUCAAUAUGAGAAGUAGUCUUUUGUUACAAUGUGUGAAUGUCUUGAUGCUUACAGAAACAAUAAUCAUCUCUUUUAUAGUGGAGGGAUCCCACUUUAGAUAUAAUAAAAAAUACAUAGUGGAGAACCCAUGAUGAAUUAGUUUUUCUCUAAUUCCCGCCAGGAUUCUCUCCCCUAGUGCGGUUGCAACGGUUCUUGUCUGUGAGCUCGAUAUUGAUUCGAGCUUGGUACUGACUCGAGCCCUCGAUCUUGAAUCGAGCUCGAUUCUGACUCGGAGUCCGGUAUUGAUUCGGGGUCGGUGCCGGUCGGUCUAUGCGUCUUAAGCUCGAAAACUUCGCUUUGCCUCGUAGUUUGAUUUGGAUACGAGCUCGAUAAUGAUACCGAGCUUUGUCAUUGAACGGUCUUAGAACUCGAAGCUUGAUGACCUUACUUCGGACCUCAACCUGAUAUUACGCAGACGCCCUUCGAUCAAAGUAUUAUCAUCUCAAUUAGUCCGUACGACGGACUAAUUGGUUUUGACCGUAUACAGAUAGUUCCCUCGUUUCUCGGGAAGGAUGUAACGAGAAAUGAUAUAAUUUUCCAACGGCAUGAUUAGAUAUAUACUGAAGUUUGCAUCGAGUUCGAUCGUGACGUACGUGAAAGUUGUCCCGUCGGUUCAGUUUACCGAGGUAUUUAAUGUGUGUCAGAUGAUGGUCGGCCAUUACCGAUAUUGAACCGCCACCACCCCCUUUUUCACCAUUAAUCACUUUUACAUCUUCUGAUAUCAAAAUUUUCUAAGCAUUUUAUCAUACCUUCUGAAUUUGUUUGUGAGUGUGAAACUUUCCUUCAGUGGUUUUUACUGCAAAAUAUUUCUUUGAAACACCAUAUCUUCUUUAUUUCCUUCUUCUAAACUCAAAAAAUGGUAAAAACAUCAAAAAAUAUUCCCCAAAAAGGAAGAGGUUUCUUCUUCACAGCCCGCCGAUAAAACACCGGUGGAGCCACGACCUGAGGAGUUCGUUCCCGGAAUGUGUCUUCUCACCUCCGAUUUUAAGGUAGACAAAGGCUCGUUGGUUCCCGGUUGGUGUGAGCCGGUAUCGAGGUAUUUAUGUUCGGUAACCAAAAAGCAACUUGCACAGUUAAAGACACAUUGCAACUGAGAUGUGAAGGAAGUGGUAAUUCCGGCUCCCGACGAAGAUAUUACCACCUACGUGGAAGGGUUCUUAAGUGUGUAUACUUACUUUUUUACAUUAGGACCUUUCGACCCUGUUAUCAUCGAUUUCUGUCGUCAAUAUCACAUAACUCUAGGCCAGAUUCAUCCUUCAUUUUGGCAGAUCGUUAUUCUGAUCUGUUUCUUUGCAAACAAGAUCGAAGGGAUGCCUUUCACCCUCGACCAUCUUAUUAGAUUGUAUAGACCCUGCCUCUUUCGAGGUGGAUUAAUAAAAUUUCAACGCCGGGCUACCAAGGUACUGUUCUCGAGCAUAGACGAGGACAAGGAUCGAGGUUGGAUGAGCAGGUUCAUUCAAGUGAAGACUUUGGAUCUGAUCCCAGACGAAAAGAUGCCAUUCCCCGAAAAAUGGAAUAUGAAGCGUAAGUGUAAUUCUGCUGUUUUAUUCCCUAUCGUCUUGUUUCUUUGUUUCUUUCUUGUUGAUAUCUUUUUUGUGAUGCAACGGUUCCUUGGAUGCCCGGUGCUGUUUCCGACCUUAAGAGCUGGGUACGGGCCCUGGCUUUGACCUCUACAUACGCCGAACGUUCGUGACGUGAUUUGGCAAAGGGCCGAUGGGAGGCCAAAAAUCAUGGUAAGCCUAUUUCUCAUGUCUUUGAGAGUUCGAAAGAAAUAUUUUCCACAUAUUCAACCAAUUUUCUUGUGUGUAGGCGUGGGUAGAGAUGCGAUUUUGAGGCCUCUGUCCGGCGAGGAAGAAGCCUCGGCCCCGGUUUCUAAACCGGUGAAGAGCAAUAAGAGAAAAAUGGACUCUACUUUCGAAAAUCCAAAAUCGAAGGCAAGGUCGACUCGUAAGACGAGGAAGAAUACCAUCCCUUUGACCUUAGAAUCAGUUCAGCGUCUAAGGGAUGAAGACGAGGAAAAAGAAGAUGACAGGUCCGUACUGGUGGCCCGAGUAAAGAAAACCACUGAUGCUCCACAGGCAGCUGGAUUGAUGGUGGUUUAUAAGGUUCCGCCUCGAACUGAGGAUGUAUCGGAGAAAGAUUUGGGCAGAGUCCCCGAGUCGUUGGAGAUCGAGGAUGCUUCCCAUCGAAGCCAACAUAUUGGGAAUAUAUCUGAAGGGGCUGUCCCCGAAUCUCUUCGAACCGAAGAGAAUGCCCCAAGUGAUUCACUUAGGGCAGUAGCAAUCGAAGACUCGCCCACCUUCCCUGCCUUUUCCGAAGGGGCGAUACGGGAAGCCCAAGCUUUAGGAGCCCUCGAACUAGACAGGCCUCAUGAGGGAGAUGACCCUUUUUGUGACCUGUUUACCGGUGUCGAGGACGUUGCCAGCACUAGCGAUGCAUCAGAUCUUUUUCACGGAGUGCAGCAGGCUUUGAAUCAGGUAAGCCUUAAAUCUUUAUAUUUGUUUUUUUUUUACCUAUUUACCUGUAAUACCUUUAUGCUUGUUUUUCUUUUCUUACUUCAUUUCUUCUUUCUUCGUAGGUCAUGGAAGCUCAUCGAAAAGCAUGUUCUCGUUCCUGAACUGAGCUGCGUCGAUACAAGGCUGACCUCCAACGGGUCACGGAGGAGAGAAAUGCCCUUAAACUCCUCUUAGGGUAAAGGGGAGAGGAAAUCAAGGACUUCCGAGCUGAGUUAGCUAAAGCUCACCAAGAUCAGACCGAUCUGACCGAGCAGGUAAUGAUACUUUUAAAAGGCUAUGGGCUCGAUACUGGAGCGAUGGUUAAUCUUUUAGUCUCACAGCUGCAGUAGAAUAUUGAGAUAAUCGGGAAACUCCGUGAGGAGGUCGAUGAGACAAAGGCGGAGUCCUUAAAGUGGAAAGAAAGUAUGGACCGCUUUGCUGCAGAGAGAGAGGCUGCUCGAGCCCAAUUAUCAUCGGCCAAAGGUCAACUUCAAAGUCUGAAGGAGAAAAUCUUGGUUCAAGCAAGAAAAAUAGAGGAACUCGAGGCUCGGUUGGCUUCUGAAAUUGCCAAGGCCGAAAAGACAAAGGUCGAUGCAGAUGCAUUUGUGGCUGUUUAUCUAGCCGAUACUGAAAUUUCUCAAUUACAUGCAAGAGAGGAAGCCGAGACCGCUCAAACUCGAGCACAUUGGAUUGCUGAACUUGCCAAAUGCCAAUAUCGAAGGGAAACCCUCGAGGAGAUCCAUGCUCGAGGCUUCGAUCUUACUGAAGAGAUAACAAAGGCAAGAGAGUUUGAAGCCGAUGCUGGGGCCUUGGUCUCCGAUGAUUAUGAUGAUGAUGAUGACGAUGAUGGGAGAAAGAGCGGGUCUCAGAGUAGGGAGGAGCCCGAUGGAGAAAAGACUACUCCCGUUGAUAAUUAGGGUUUCAGUCCUGAUCGAACGCUUUGUAAACAUCAUCAUAUAUAUAAAGGUCUUUUCUUUUCCCAACUUGUCUCUGUUUUCUUUUCUGCCUAUUGAAGGUUUUGUUUUACUUGUGCCUUUUGAAAAUGUUCAUAAGUUUGAGGCUUUAGGCAAUUUUGAUUGAAUUCGUACUUUGUAGUCUUUAUAACUAAGUGAGUACUUGCUUGAACUCGAAGUACGAGUGGCUCUUAGGCUUUAUAGUUGAGUGAGUGAUUGCUCGAACUCGAAGUAUCGUAGCCCGUAGGCUUUAUGGUCGAGUGAGUGAUUGCUCGAACUCGAAGUAAGAUAGCCUGUAGGCUUUAUGGUCAUGAACUUAGCUUUACCUGGGGCUGAUGGUAGAGGGCCGAUGAUAUCCAUCCCCCAUUUCAUGAAUGGCCAUGAGGAUAGAAUUGAAUAAAGUUGUUCUCCGGGUUGAUGGAUCAUCGGUGCAAACCUUUGACAUUUAUCAUAUUUUCGAACAAACUCCUUAGUGUCCUUUUCCAUGCUAUCCCAGUAAUAUCCUGCUCUGAUUAUUUUGUGAAUCAGUGGUUCGGCGCCGGAGUGGUUACCACAAGUGCUUUCAUGGACCUCUCGUAAAACAUAAUCGGUGUCUCCUGGUCCCAAGCAUACUGCCAAUGGUCCAUCGAACGUCCUUCUGUAUAAUGUUCCAUCUUCAGCCAAUGUGAAUCGAGCAACUUUGGUUCGUAGGGCCCUUGAUUCUUUAGGGUUAGAUGGGAUUUUUUUCGUUCUUCAAAUAUUCAAUAUACUUAUUCCUAUAAUCCCAGGUUAAACUUGUGGAAUUUAUCUCAGCAUGCCCCUCCUCGAUUAUGGAUCCCGAGAGUUGAACGAUAGUCCCAGAGUCGAUCUCAUCUUCCUUAACCGAUGACCCCAAAUUUGUGAGUGCAUCGGCUUCACUGUUUUGUUCUCGAGGCACAUGUUGUAAAGUCUAUUCCUUGAAACGGUGCAAAGUUACCUGCAAUUUGUCCAAAUACAUUUGCAUUCUAUCUUCUCGAACUUCGAAGGUUUUGUUUAAUUGGUUCACCACUAGUAAAGAGUCACAUUUGUCUUCAAUGACUUCUGCUCCCAAGCUUUUAGCUAGCUCGAGACCUGCAAUCAUGGCCUCGUACUCGGCCUCAUUGUUAUUCAACUUAGAAGUUUUGAUAGAUUGCCUAAUAAUGCCACCCGUGGGGGGUUUCAACACGAUGCCAAGCCCGGACCCCUUCACAUUCAAAGCACCAUCUGUGAAGAGGGUCCAAACCCCCGAUGAUGUACCUGAUUUUAGCAAGAGUUCUUUUUCAACUUCGGGUACGAGGGUUGGCGUGAAAUCGGCCACGAAGUCCGCUAAAAUUUGAGACUCGAUGGUCGUACGGGGUUGAUAUUCGAUAUCGUACCUGCUGAAUUCGAUGACCCAUUUGACCAAUCAGCCCGAUAGUUUGGGCUUGUGUAAAAUAUUACGAAGUGGGUAAGUGGUCAAAACGCAUAUGGGGUGACAUUGAAAGUAUAGUCUUAACUUCCUAGAGGCACUUAUCAGUGCAAGUGCCAAUUUAUCUAAGUGUGGAUAUCUAGUCUCUGCUUCUCCUAAGGUCCUACUUACAUAAUAAACAGGAAAUUACGUACCUUGCUCUUCUCAAACUAGGACGCCACUUACCGCAAUUUUCGAUACCGCCAAGUAUAAGUAAAGUUUCUCAUCUGUCUUCGGAGUGUGAAUCAGUGGUGGGCUCGACAAGUAUCGUUUCAAUUGUUCUAAUGUAUGUUGGCAUUCUGGGGUCCAUGCGAAAUUGUUCUUCUUUUUUGAGUAGAGAGAAGAAUCUGGGGCUUCGAUCCGACGACCUCGAAAUGAAUCGACCUAAGGCAGCUAUCCGUCCGGUUAGCAUCUGCACUUCUUUUACACUAUCUACGAUGGUGAUGUCUUUGAUAGCCUUGAUUUUACCGGGGUUGAUCUCGAUUCCCCGAUUCGAUACCAUAAAGUUAAGGAACUUACCCGAACCAACCCCGAAAGCACAUUUUUCGGGGUUGAGCUUUAUGUUAUAUUUCCUUAAAAUCUCAAACGUCUCCUGCAAAUGAGUCAAAUGGUCCUCUGCGCGUAGGGACUUAACUAGCAUGUCAUCAAUAUAAACUUCUAUUGACUUACCUAUUUGUUCUUCGAACAUUUUAUUCACUAGGCGUUGGUAAGUAGCUCCUGCAUUUUUUAGCCCGAAGGGCAUUAUAUUAUAACAAUAUGUUCCAUACUUAGUGAUAAAUGAAGUCUUUUCUCGGUCCUCCGGGUUUAUUUGAAUUUGAUUGUACCCGAAAUAGGCAUCGAGAAAAGUAAGGAUCUCGUGGACGGUUGUGGCAUCGAUCAUGCGAUCGAUGUUAGGCAGUGGAAAAGAAUCUUUGGGGCAUGCCUUGUUUAGAUAUUUAUAAUCUACACAUAUUCUAAGUUUGUUCCCCUUUUUAGGGACUACAACUACACUGGCUAACUAUUCGGGAUAUUUUAUUUCCCGAAUCGACCCUAUUUUGAGAAGUUUAGUUACCUCGUCCUUUAUGAAUGCGUGCUUUAACUCGGACUGAGGUCUUCUUUUUUGCUUCACCGGUUUGAACCUAGGGUCCAAGCUCAACCGGUGUAUUGUUAUCGACGGUGGGAUUCCUGCCAUGUCUAAAUGGGACCAAUCAAUGCAAUCUAUGUUAUCAAUAAGAAAUUAAAUAAGUUUUUUCCUGAGUUCGGGGGUCAAUCCCGUUCCCAGGUAUACCUUUCUCUAGGGCAGAUGCUCGAUCAAUAUAACCUAAAUGAUAUGUUGAGGUUACUCUUGUUCAUCUUUUCUAUUGGUGUCCCUUUCUCUGAAGUGAUUCUUGGCUCGAUCGCUGAGGAACUCUCGAAGGUGGCCCUCGUUGAAUAGACGGGCUACUUCCUCCCUUAAUUGCCUGCAAUCCUCGGUCUUGUGGCCAUGCGUACCAUGGUAUUUGCACAUUGAAUUCGGGUUUCUUUGGGAAGGAUUGGUUUGCAUGGGUUUGGGCCACCAAGUAUCUUUGAUUCUUCUGAUUGCCGAUACAAUGCCCGAUGCAUCGACGCUGAAGUUAUAUUCCGAUAACUGAGGUGCCUCUAUAGGAUCAACAUAUUUGUCAAAAUCACUCUUGCUCAUAAGUCCCCGAGAAUUUUGUCCUCGAUCACUUCUUUGAUUGUUUCGGGCGUAAUUGCGUCCCGAACCAUUGUUCCUUCGAUCUGCAAUAUAUGGUUGAUAUCGAUCUCUGUUCGACCUUGGCUCUCUGUCGAUGUCCCUUUGGAUUUUAAUAGCCAACCUGUUUGGAUGUACUAAUCCGGAAUGAGCUCCUAAUUGGUCAUCUUCGACCUUGAUUUUUGAUUGGUAUCGAUUGUGCACAUCUGCCCAAGUUAUCACUGGAUACUCAAUCAAAUUUUAUUUCACCCGACAUGAUGCUAUCGAACUUCGCACGUUCAACACUUAGGUGAAAGCUUGAACGGCCCAAUCGUCUGUGACUGGUGGUAAUUCCAUGCGUUCCAUUUAAAACCGGGACACGAACUCCCUCAGCAUUUCAUUAUCUUUUUGUUUUACUUUGAAAAGUUUCGAUUUCCUUGUUGCAACUUUUAUGGCACCAACGUGUGCCUUUACAAAAGAAUCUGCUAACAUGGCAAAUGAGUCGAUGGAAUUCAGUGGCAGGUUGUGAUACCAAAUCAUUGCUCCCUUCGAGAGGGUCUCUCCAAAUUUUUUUAACAACACAAAUUUGAUUUCGUUAUCUUCUAAAUCGUUCCCCUUGAUGGCACAUGUGUAAGAGGUGACGUAUUAGUUGGGGUCUGUCGUUCCGUUAUAUUUGGGAAUUUGGGGGUUGGUUUUUGGGCUACACUCGAAGGAAAAGGCUUUUGCACGAAUUUUUUGGAAUCCAACCCUUUUAUCAUUGGUGGAGCCCCCGGGAUCUGAUCGACCCUGGAGUUAUAUGUUUCUACUUUUUUAUCGUUAGCUUCGAUCCGCUUUAUGAGCUCCUCGAGUAUCUUAGCAAUUUCGGGAGUAGUCCCCGAUUCUUGCUCAUUUGACCUCAUUAUAGCUGGCUUCGUUCUGUGGGCAAUAUCUCGAGGUGAACCAGGCUGCGGCCUGCUUGGCACUUGGGUUUGGCUUUGCAACUUAGCUAUCGCUACCUGUUGGGCUUGCAGCAUUUCAAAAAUCAUACGCAAGCUGACUCUGUUUUCCUCGGCGUUAUGGGUGUCUCGAGCUGCAGAUCGAGUGCCACCAUGAAUGCUAUUUUCGAACGUUGGUUUUCCUCAAGGGCCACAUGCGAAUUAACGUCCAGUGGUACUUAGACUCGAGCUUCAGGUACUCCGGCUCGAGCUUCUACGGCAUCGAUAAGCGGCUUUCUGGACCUGGGCGUCAUGUUGUUGGUUUCAUCUUGAAGGCCAGCUUCGUUAUCGAUAGGUAAAGCCAUUAAUUGAGGGUUUUCCAUUGCUAAUUCUGAAGUCAAAAAUACUUUCAAAAGACAAGCAUAAAACGGUGUGUGUUGCAGACUUGUAUCAAAUAACCACUUUUAUCCUUAGCCCCACGGUGGGUGCCAAACUGUUUACCCAGAAAAUCGGAUAGAGUUGAAUUUGUACGCAGUUCUAAGGGUAUGUGGUACAACUUGAUACAAAAUCGUAAAAAGAAAUAGAAAUAUACAAUUUUGACUAUAAGAAUGAAAGAUAAAAACGAUAGAAAGGAGAAAAAUGGUUGAACUAGAUAAGAUGAAGUAAAAGAGCUCAAAUGAUUGAUCUUUCAAUAUGAGAAAUAGUCUUUUGUUACAAUGUGUGAAUGUUUUGAUGCUUACAGAAACAAUAAUCAUCCUUUUUAUAGUGGAGGGAUCCCACUUUAGAUAUAAUAAAAAAUACAUAUUGGGGAACCCAUGAUGAAUUAGUUUUUCCCUAAUUUUCGUCAGGAUUCUCUCCCCUAGUGCGGUUGUAACGGCUCUUGUCUGUGAGCUCGAUAUUGAUUCAAGCUCGAUACUGACUCGAGCCCUUGAUCUUGACUCGAGCUCGAUUCUAAUUCGGAGUCCGGUAUUGAUUCGAGGUCGGUGCUGGUCGGUCUAUGCGUCUUAAGCUCGACAAUUUCACUUUGCCUCGUAGUUCGAUUUGGAUACGAGCUCGAUAAUGAUACCGAGCUUUGUCAUUAAUCGGUCUUAGAACUCGAAGCUUGAUGAUCUUACUUCGGACCUUAACCUGAUAUUACGCAGACGCCCUUCGAUCAAAGUAUUAUCAUCUCGAUCAGUCCGUACGACGGACUAAUUGGUUUUGACCGUAUACAUAAACUUGCAGUUGUUUAUGAUGAAAAACCAGAUAAAUAUUUGUCGGACGUGCUUCGUUCUGGUAUUUGAUCAGCUAUUUGAAGAAAUCUUCACCUGUUAUAGUUUGGUGGCUACUAAAUUUAGUAGUUUUGUGUGUUUUGAUUUUGACUUAUCAUUUGUUUCUUGGGUAGGCGAAGACUUUGGAUGGGAUGAUAGAAUGAAGAUAGCAACUCAAACUUGCAAUCCUUUUCACAUGGUUGCAUGAGAGACAAUUUGCAUUUGGUGGUAUGGAACCUUAGAGCAUAAUGAUUGUUAAGGUAACAACUAAUCAGAGGCGGAUCCGGGAUUUAAAGUUUAUGAAUUCGUACAACGACCUCAUGUUAAUAUGCAAUAAUAAUUGUGUUUACUAUUAAAUAUUAUAGAUAUUUAGUCAACUUUUUAAUACAAAUACAGGAUUUGAGAAAAAGGUAGUAGGUUUACGUGAACCCUUAACUUAUAAGCUAGGUCUACCCCUACAGUUGAACCCCAUAGACGACCUUCUCGUUGACGUUUUACAAGUUACUAUUUCAUUGGCUUGUAGGGGCGUAGGUAGGUGGAUGCAAGGGGGUUCGAUUGAAUCCUCUUCGCCUGAAAAUUAUACUGUGAAGUAUGCUAAAAUGAAAAUUUUCUGUAUAAUGAUAUAAAUUGUUACUUCCCCUAGCAUUACAAAAGCUUAUGGUGUUGUGCCACGGGGGUUUUAAAAAUUGUUUUAGGUUGCAAGAUCAAAUUAUAGGUGUGACGAUCUAGUACUUUUUGAAUCCCCUUAUAUGAAUUCCUAGCUCCGGUACUAUUUGCAGGACUUCAACAUAAAAGUAUUGAACUUUGGUUUCCUGGUUCGUGUAAAGGAUGAGAAUAACGGAGUACUUACCAUUCCUUAUUUGAAUCUCCCUUAUGCUCCAGAGGUUUUUGAGGGUACAAGGGUCUAUUGUACUCAGCCUUACCUUGCAUUUCUGCGAUAGAUUGUUUCCACAGCUCGAACCCGUGAACUCCUGAUCAUAUGACAACAACUUUAUCAGUUACGCCUAGGCUCCCCUUCACUUUAUAUGAUCAAACAGUUUCUUAAUAUGAAUAUACUAAGCCUUUUGGGUUGUCUGUAGACCCCCCAAAGAGUGCUGGUUAUAAAGACCAAAGGAGAUCUCUUGAUGUUUCUGUGUACAUUGAAUUUUUGUGCCUGAAUUAUGUAUCUGCACUUAUUAGUUGUUCUCUGACAAUUCCUUUUGGAUACAGAUAUCUGAUAUUCCACGCGGACAGCGUCAAGUUAUGCAUCAUUCGGACAGUAUUCGCAAUGUUCUUGGAAUACCUCUCAUCUUAACAUUAGUAGUUGGUGGCCUGGGAAUCCUUUUGUUUAAGAGCCUGCAACACUGAAACCGAUUCUUUAUCCAAACAUUUUCCGUGUAGAGAUUGUUCAAUUUGUUUGUAUGUAUAUGAUUAAGUGCGUAUUAUCUUCGCAUGAUUUUUGUAAUAUAUUACUUAUUGAUGAUGAAACAGAGAAGUGGUAGUUUUUCGUA